UACGAAGGGGGCUAGCGUUGUUCGGAUUUACUGGGCGUAAAGCGCACGUAGGCGGAUUGUUAAGUCGGGGGUGAAAUCCUGGAGCUCAACUCCAGAAUUGCCUUCGAUACUGGCUUUCUAGAGGCUGGAAGAGGUUAGUGGAAUUCCCAGUGUAGAGGUGAAAUUCGUAGAUAUUGGGAAGAACACCAGUGGCGAAAGCGGCUCACUGGUCCGGUACUGACGCUGAGGUGCGAAAGCGUGGGGAGCAAACAGG
rnacentral:rRNA from 1 species